UACGGGGGGGGGCAAGCGUUGUUCGGAAUUACUGGGCGUAAAGGGCCUCGUAGGUGGCCAACUAAGUCAGACGUGAAAAUCCCUCGGCUUAACCGGGGAACUGCGUCUGAUACUGGAUGGCUUGAGUUUGGGAGAGGGAUGCGGAAUUCCAGGUGUAGCGGUGAAAUGCGUAGAUAUCUGGAGGAACACCGGUGGCGAAGGCGGCAUCCUGGACCAACACUGACACUGAGGAGCGAAAGCCAGGGGAGCAAACGGG
rnacentral:rRNA from 1 species